rnacentral:piRNA from 1 species
UAAGACAGCACAAUUGCCAACUGCAGU